AAUCUUCGCUGCUGUAACAGUCUGGGAGUCUCGGCUCAGCCCAGCAGUCCAGCCUGCCAGGAAGCGCCCCCUCCUGCCCAGCUUGCUGGUCCCGAGGCAAACACUUUUGAGGACAGGAAGGGGAGAGGUGAGGCAGAGGGUGGGGAUGGAUGUUGGGCAGCUGACCACUGGUGUCUGCCACGAUGGGUUCCAGUAUACCAGCUGCCAGACAUUGUUGCUGUGGGUCAGCCUGGGCCCUGCCCCACCUGGCCCCGCUCAAAUGAGCCUCCAGCCACCGACUGACAGCAUGGUGGGUCCUGCAACCAGCAAGAGUUCAGCCUGGAAUAAUACCAGGAGCUUCUUUCCAGCUCAAGGGGCAUCUGGGUGGCUCAGUCCGUUCGUUAAGCAUCUGCCUUCAGCUCCUGGUUAUGAUCCCAGGGUCGUGAGCUCGAGCCCCACAUCCGGAUCCCGGCUCAUCAGGGGAUCCUCUGCUGCUCCCCCUGCUUAUUCUCUGGAUCGCUCUCUCCCUCUCUGUGUCAAAUAAAUAAUAAAAUAAGA